rnacentral:rRNA from 1 species
GACGAACGCUGGCGGCGUGCCUAAUACAUGCAAGUGGGACGCAAGGGAACACACUGUGCUUGCACACCGUGUUUUCUUGAGUCGCGAACGGGUGAGUAACGCGUAGGUAACCUGCCUAUUAGCGGGGGAUAACUAUUGGAAACGAUAGCUAAUACCGCAUAAUAUUAAUUAUUGCAUGAUAAUUGAUUGAAAGAUGCAAGCGCAUCACUAGUAGAUGGACCUGCGUUGUAUUAGCUAGUUGGUAAGGUAAGAGCUCACCAAGGCGACGAUACAUAGCCGACCUGAGAGGGUGAUCGGCCACACUGGGACUGAGACACGGCCCAGACUCCUACGGGAGGCAGCAGUAGGGAAUCUUCGGCAAUGGACGAAAGUCUGACCGAGCAACGCCGCGUGAGUGAAGAAGGUUUUCGGAUCGUAAAGCUCUGUUGUAAGUCAAGAACGUGUGUGAGAGUGGAAAGUUCACACAGUGACGGUAGCUUACCAGAAAGGACGGCU